rnacentral:misc_RNA from 1 species
AAGUCGUAACAAGGUCUCCGUAGGUGAACCUGCGGAGGGAUCAUUAACACGUAUCCAAACGUUCAAACCAAAACCGUGCUCCUUAUGUUCCCAUCUAAUUCAAGUGAUUCCGUAAGCCAUAGAUGGAUUCCUAUAGCAAUACAAGGCGCAAGUCUUGUGGAGCUUAGGUCUACUUACGAAUCUAUCGAGUACUUUGAUAUUCAACUUGAGUUAGUAUGGCGUAUAUCCCUUUAAGCCAUCUGGUUAUUAAGCCAAACCGGUUUCGACCCGGAGCUUAGUAGCCUUAUUAAACCUAAUUUUUUAACCCCUUUCUUUUAUAUAAAGCACUGACUUACACUUUCUGAACUUAACGGUUUAGAACAGUUAUACGAAACGCGAACAACUCUUAGCAAUGGAUAUCUUGGUUCUC